rnacentral:rRNA from 1 species
GGAGUCUGAUCCUACCAGGAUGAAGCUGGCGGCAUGCCUUAACAUACGCAAGUCGGGAAGUCGGUGGCGGACGGGGUAGAGGUUAACGCGUAAGAACUGCCCCUUGAGGGGAACAAGAGGCUGAAACGGCUGCUAAUACCUCUGCAGGCUGAGGAGCAAAAGGAGGAAUCUGCCUGAGGAGGGGCCUGCGGCCUGAUUGAAGAAGUUGCGAGGCAAUAGCUUACUGGCGAUGGGAUCAGUAUUGGUCCGAGAGGAUGAUCAGCCACACUGAUUCGAGACAGACGGCCCAGACUUCACGAAGCAGGGGAAUUCUUCCGCACAAGCGAAAGCCUGACGGAGCAAUGCCGCGUGAGGUAGUAGGCGUCCGGUCCGGAAACUUUUUCCAGAGAAGAAGCCAUGACGGUAUCUGGGGAAUAAGCAUCGGCUAACCGAGCUGUGCCAGCAGCCGUCACAGAGGGAUGCUGCCAUCCGGAACAUUAUGCAAAGCGUCCAGGCGGCUUUAAGUCCGGCCGUCAAAUCCAGGGCCCAACCCUGACAGGCGGUGGAAACCACCGUUUGGAGUACGGUAGGGGCAGAGGAAUUUCCCGGUGAUGGGUGAAAUGCGUAGAGAUCAAAGAACCAACGGCGAAAGCACCCCGCUAGCCGACACUGACACUGAGACGAAAGCCAGGGAUGAAUGGGAUUAGAUACCCAGUAGUCCCAGCCAAACGAUGGAUACCAGGGCGCUGUGCGUAUCGACCUGUGCAGUGCCAGGCCAUCGCUUAAGCAUCCCGCCCUGGGAGCAUGUUCGCAAGAAUGAAACUCAGCGAAUUGACGGGGCCCGCCAAGCGGUGGAGUAUGUGGUUUAAUUGAUGCAAAGGAAGAACUACCAGGGCUUGACAUGCCGCGAAUCCUCCUUUGAAAGAGAGGCGCCUUCGGGAACGCGGACACAGGUGGUGUAUGUAUUGCCGUCAGCUCGUGCCGCGGUGUUGGGUUAUCCCGCAACGAGCGCAACCCCCUCGUGUUUAGCUGCCACCGUUGAGUUUGGGAACCCUGAACAGACUGCCUGCGAUAAGCCGAGGAAGGAGGAUGACGUCGUCAUCAUGCCCCUUUAUGCCCUGGGCGACAUGUGCCACAAAUGGCCGGGGAUAGCAAUGCGAUCCCGCGGUGAGCUUAAAUCCAAACCCGUCCUCAGUCUGGAUUGUAGCCAACUCGCCCUGCUAUGAAGCCGGAAAUCGCUAGUAAUCGCUGGUCAGCCAUAUUGGCGUGAAUCCCGUUCCUGGCCUUGUACAUUCGCCUAAUGCCACUUAUGGAGCUGGCCAUGCAAAGCCGUUACCUUAAAUCGUAUAUGAGGGGGUGCCGAAGGCAGGGCUAGUGACGGAGUGAAGUCGUGUUGCGGUAGCUGUACUGAAGCAGUGCGCUG